UACGGGAUGAAGCCCAUAUGGUGAAGAA
rnacentral:piRNA from 1 species